rnacentral:rRNA from 1 species
GUGGGGAAUUUUGGACAAUGGGCGCAAGCCUGAUCCAGCCAUGCCGCGUGAGUGAUGAAGGCCCUAGGGUUGUAAAGCUCUUUCACCGGUGAAGAUAAUGACGGUAACCGGAGAAGAAGCCCCGGCUAACUUCGUGCCAGCAGCCGCGGUAAUACGAAGGGGGCUAGCGUUGUUCGGAAUUACUGGGCGUAAAGCGCACGUAGGCGGACAUUUAAGUCAGGGGUGAAAUCCCGGGGCUCAACCCCGGAACUGCCUUUGAUACUGGGUGUCUGGAGUAUGGAAGAGGUAAGUGGAAUUCCGAGUGUAGAGGUGAAAUUCGUAGAUAUUCGGAGGAACACCAGUGGCGAAGGCGGCUUACUGGUCCAUUACUGACGCUGAGGUGCGAAAGCGUGGGGAGCAAACAGGAUUAGAUACCCCUGUAGUCC